CUCAAAUUCUUCAAUUUCUCAUUUGGUUUAGAAUGGAAAAUACUCAAGGAAUGCUUGUGAAGGGAUAUGAUUUAUUAUAGCGAGAGCAUAAUAUCAUACUUGGAAUUUGAAAGUGAUGAGGCGACGAGAAUAUCGAAACCACGAUCGACUAUAACUUUAUAGCAGCUGAAUUGAGCAGCUUUGGAGCUUGUCCUUCCGCCAUAUUGAGCCACGCGUCAUAAGUUGUAUGGCCUACUUUACCAGACUAUGUAGUACAUGUUUCUUUGGGUUAUAUGUAAUUUAUGUCAGAAAAAGUUAUCAUGGAUUCACUGCAUAUUUGGCGUUUUUAGUAUAUUUGAGAAUUGUUGGUUGUAAAGAAAGGAAAUGUUGAUUUGCCGACAUUUUAUUCGAAUAGUUUGUAUUUUGAGGGACUAGCGUAUCCUAUUUAUAUUAUAGGUAUUGAUUUGAGGAAAAUUAGUUGUUGU